rnacentral:rRNA from 1 species
AGGCCUAACACAUGCAAGUCGAGCGGAAACGAGUUAUCUGAACCUUCGGGGAACGAUAACGGCGUCGAGCGGCGGACGGGUGAGUAAUGCCUAGGAAAUUGCCUUGAUGUGGGGGAUAACCAUUGGAAACGAUGGCUAAUACCGCAUGAUGCCUACGGGCCAAAGAGGGGGACCUUCGGGCCUCUCGCGUCAAGAUAUGCCUAGGUGGGAUUAGCUAGUUGGUGAGGUAAUGGCUCACCAAGGCGACGAUCCCUAGCUGGUCUGAGAGGAUGAUCAGCCACACUGGAACUGACACACGGUCCAGACUCCUACGGGAGGCAGCAGUGGGGAAUAUUGCACAAUGGGCGCAAGCCUGAUGCAGCCAUGCCGCGUGUAUGAAGAAGGCCUUCGGGUUGUAAAGUACUUUCAGCAGUGAGGAAGGGGGUGUCGUUAAUAGCGGCAUCUCUUGACGUUAGCUGCAGAAGAAGCACCGGCUAACUCCGUGCCAGCAGCCGCGGUAAUACGGAGGGUGCGAGCGUUAAUCGGAAUUACUGGGCGUAAAGCGCAUGCAGGUGGUUUGUUAAGUCAGAUGUGAAAGCCCGGGGCUCAACCUCGGAACUGCAUUUGAAACUGGCAAACUAGAGUACUGUAGAGGGGGGUAGAAUUUCAGGUGUAGCGGUGAAAUGCGUAGAGAUCUGAAGGAAUACCAGUGGCGAAGGCGGCCCCCUGGACAGAUACUGACACUCAGAUGCGAAAGCGUGGGGAGCAAACAGGAUUAGAUACCCUGGUAGUCCACGCCGUAAACGAUGUCUACUUGGAGGUUGUGGCCUUGAGCCGUGGCUUUCGGAGCUAACGCGUUAAGUAGACCGCCUGGGGAGUACGGUCGCAAGAUUAAAACUCAAAUGAAUUGACGGGGGCCCGCACAAGCGGUGGAGCAUGUGGUUUAAUUCGAUGCAACGCGAAG